rnacentral:rRNA from 1 species
CGGGUGAGUAAUACAUCGGAACGUGUCCAGUCGUGGGGGAUAACCAGUCGAAAGAUUGGCUAAUACCGCAUGCGCCCGAAAGGGGAAAGCGGGGGAUCGCAAGACCUCGCGCGAUUGGAGCGGCCGAUGUCCGAUUAGCUAGUUGGUGAGGUAACGGCUCACCAAGGCGACGAUCGGUAGCUGGUCUGAGAGGACGACCAGCCACACUGGGACUGAGACACGGCCCAG